rnacentral:rRNA from 1 species
AAUUUCUGGUACGGUGCGCCCGGCCGACUGGGGCAACUCAGCCAGUGCUGGUGUGCGCCUGCCUUUCGUGGAAGCUCUACACGCACUUCACUGUGUGGGUAGUGUUCUCCAUCUUUUACUUUGAAAAAAUUAGAGUGUUUAAAGCAAGCAAUCGCUAUGAAUAUAUUAGCAUGGAAUAAUAAUUUAGGACUUUAUUCCUAUUUUAUUGGUUCUGAGGGAUAAAGUAAUGAUUGAUAGGGAUAGUUGGGGGUGCUAGUAUUCAUCGGCCAGAGGUGAAAUUCUUGGAUUCGAUGAAGACUAACUAAUGCGAAAGCAUU